rnacentral:tRNA from 1 species
UGCCGAAGUGGUGGAAUUGGUAGACACGCUAGCUUGAGGGGCUAGUUCCUGAUAUUCGGGAGUAGGGGUUCGAGUCCCCUCUUCGGCAU